CCUGGCUCAGGACGAACGCUGGCGGCGUGCUUAACACAUGCAAGUCGAACGGUAAGGCCCUUCGGGGUACACGAGUGGCGAACGGGUGAGUAACACGUGGGUGAUCUGCCCUGCACUUCGGGAUAAGCCCGGGAAACUGGGUCUAAUACCGGAUAGGACUGCGCGGUGCAUGCCGUGUGGUGGAAAGAUUUAUCGGUGCAGGAUGGGCCCGCGGCCUAUCAGCUUGUUGGUGGGGUAAUGGCCUACCAAGGCGACGACGGGUAGCCGGCCUGAGAGGGCGACCGGCCACACUGGGACUGAGACACGGCCCAGACUCCUACGGGAGGCAGCAGUGGGGAAUAUUGCACAAUGGGCGCAAGCCUGAUGCAGCGACGCCGCGUGAGGGAUGACGGCCUUCGGGUUGUAAACCUCUUUCAGCAGGGACGAAGCGUGAGUGACGGUACCUGCAGAAGAAGCACCGGCCAACUACGUGCCAGCAGCCGCGGUAAUACGUAGGGUGCAAGCGUUGUCCGGAAUUACUGGGCGUAAAGAGCUCGUAGGCGGUUUGUCGCGUCGUCUGUGAAAACCAGCAGCUCAACUGUUGGCUUGCAGGCGAUACGGGCAGACUUGAGUAUUUCAGGGGAGACUGGAAUUCCUGGUGUAGCGGUGAAAUGCGCAGAUAUCAGGAGGAACACCGGUGGCGAAGGCGGGUCUCUGGGAAAUAACUGACGCUGAGGAGCGAAAGCGUGGGUAGCGAACAGGAUUAGAUACCCUGGUAGUCCACGCCGUAAACGGUGGGCGCUAGG
rnacentral:rRNA from 1 species